UAAAUGUGAGUUAUUAUUGAAAUACACUUUGAUUUAUAUUUUUAACUAAAGUGUGUUUAUUUUGUAGAUAUGCAAAAUUAAAUAAGGGGAAGAAAAGGAUAUGCGAAAUUAUUGAGCGGGCGAGAAUUGGAGUCCAAGAAGUUCAAGACAAGAUCAAGAGAAGAAAUGAAGCAAUGAAAAUAAAUGAAGACAUUUGUUGAGUCUUAUUUAUAUUGUCUUUN
rnacentral:lncRNA from 1 species